rnacentral:lncRNA from 1 species
UACUGAUGUAUGGAAAUUUAUUUGGUGUUUCAUUUUGUUAUAAACAUUCAAAGCAAACUACUGUGUUAUAGAUAGCUUUGAGCUGGUAUACACUAAUUUGCAUAUAAAACUAAGUAUCUAUGCAACACAAACUUACAAUGACAUUCUGUAUAAAGCACCUUUAACCAAAUGGAACAAAAAUAUGAUCCUUACUUAACAUUAGCAUAAAAUAGGGACUAUAAAAGAUGUCACAUCUACAUCAGUCAACUAUAAGAUGGCAAGUAUAUACGAUUUUUCAUUUUGAAACAAAAUUUAUUAAAAUGGAACAGUUUUGAAUCUUUAUUUUACCUUGAAGUAAAACUCAAAUGUGGCAAAAUACAAUAAUUUUGCAUCUGCAUGUGUAGAAACUUGCUAAACUUUCAUCAAUUUUUUUUAAACAUUUCUUAUACAAUUCUAUGAUCCAUUUUUUUUACUGACUUAUGAUCAAUGUAAAACAUGUUUUGCUUCUGGACAAAAUUUCUAAAAGCAAAGGUUGAAUCUAAACAAAUUUUCCUGGUUUUAUAAUAUUCAUUUUUUUUAAAUAGCUAAAAUAAUAUUCGUUACAUUGUUGAUGAGGAGUAAUUAAUUGAAUUCAUAAUAUUUGUAUUAUUUAGUAUUACAUUUUGGAUGGAGCUUUAAUUUAAUAUGCGAUUCACAAAACUUCCGAAUGUUGCAUAAAGAAAACUGGUUUCACCGGAAAUGUGACAACUUCAUCCAAUUAUGUCAAAAUAAUUCCAAAAAAUAACAUAAAUCAUAAUAAGAUUGAACUGACUACAUCUGACCCGUAAUGUACAGACUCAUCAACCAGGAAAAAAACAUACUGUACAGGAAUACAUUAAAAAAUGUUUAUAUAAAAUACUGAUGACGAGACAAACUCGUCAUUUUGGAAUCUAAGACUAUGGGUAAUCUCAUUGUUUGUACACCAAAAAUGAAAAACGUUACGUCAUUGGUUGAAUUUCCAUUGUUUGGAAAGUUUUGAACAAUCACAGAAUUUUGGUGAACCUUUUGAAAAUAUUACCCAGAAUGCAUUAGAUUCUGAAACCAUGAAUUGUUACAGGUUGGUUUCUUUAUUUCUCAACAGUGCAAAGCUUUAGUUAAAUGAAUUCCACUAACAAAAAAGUAGUACUGCCAAAUAAAUUUAUUUAAAAACAGUAACAGAAAUGCACAUUUUCAGUGUACUUUCACUUAAAUCUGUAGUUUUUAUUUUCAUGAAGUUAAUAUUUCAAAGUUCUUCAACUGUCUGUCCCAUCUUUCAAACAUGGUUGCAAAAUAAUCUAAAGUUCUAUCUAUUAUUAAACUCAAUUAAAAAAUGAAGAAAUUGUUUUAUCAAAUAAAACCUUAUUAACAAAUACAAUAAUAUAUAUAUAUGUAUAUGUGUGUGGAAUGUUUUAUGUAUAUGCUACAAAAUGUGCGUGUUAUUCUUUUAUUGCUAAGUACACAAAUAGAAAUAAUGAAAUUUCCAUUUUGAUUCAAGCUCUAAAAUUGUGUAUGAAAAAGUUUAUGCAGUGCUGAGAAUAUCAUGAUGUUGGGUUUUUUUUUUUUGAUGACCCUUAAAUGAUAAAAUGUACAUACAAAUUAAUGCAAAAAUUAGAUUUUAAAGUCCUCAUUGUCAAUGUUUUUAUUGAAAAUACUGAAACUACAAACAAAAAAUUGUGUAAGUUGUGUAUCAAUUUUAAAUUCAAAAUACUUGAUCAAAAUACAAUGUUGCAGAUUUUAAUCAUUCCUUUAUCUAAUUGGAUCAAGCAUAAGUCCAAACAGUCUGUAUAUUGUGCUCUUAUUUUAUUACCAUGCCUUUACACACAAAAAAAGUUAAAACAAAAAUGAUUUAAGAAUGAUGUAAUCAUUGAAAUGGCAUCCAUUUUUCAUCAGAUAAACUCUCAAAUCAAAACUAUUUCAAGAAAAAGGUGAAAUAUUGAAAGGUGUAUUUUGAAAUUUGUGCUAUAAUAUACUCUGGAGUUUUUUGCCAAAAAGAUUAAAU